UACGUAGGGCGCAAGCGUUGUCCGGAAUUAUUGGGCGUAAAGAGCUCGUAGGCGGUUUGUCACGUCUGCUGUGAAAACUGGAGGCUCAACCUCCAGCCUGCAGUGGGUACGGGCAGACUAGAGUGCGGUAGGGGAGAUUGGAAUUCCUGGUGUAGCGGUGGAAUGCGCAGAUAUCAGGAGGAACACCGAUGGCGAAGGCAGAUCUCUGGGCCGUAACUGACGCUGAGGAGCGAAAGCAUGGGGAGCGAACAGG
rnacentral:rRNA from 1 species